AGGUCUACGUUCUCUGCCAAUUCUACUACCACAAACAGUUAUCUCAAGAAAGCAAACUUUCAACUUUCCUUCAAUAAAAUGAUUGCUAUUGUAUAUCAAUCGGUAGAGCUUGCAUGUCUGUUCUCUCCCAUUGCUCAAAAUGAGCACAUAGUCUACUACAUCAUUUGUCUAAAGGAUGGGCUUAGUUAGAAGUUAUAAGGACUGCUAAAUUUUGGAGCAUUUGCUAAGAGAAAAUGCUCAAAGGCUCUUCUCUUUAACUUCAAAUUGUGAUUGGCCUGGCUUGGGUGGCAUGCCCAGUUCUGGGCUAAUUGCUGUGUAGGAAACGAUUGUUGGGGCUGGUUGCCGUCACAUGCUCCUUUCCAGGUAUUUCCAUGCCAGGAUUUUUCCCAUCGUUCGGGUCUCUGCUCCACUAUCAGUUCUUCAGUAUCCCACAGGUGGUUUACAGCUGCCAUCUUCUACAGCAAGGGAACAUUCUCCAUUGUUGCUUCAUCUUCACUGAAGAUUCAGCCAAGUGCUUUCUCUAUCUUGUACAGUUUGCUAAGUUACAUAUCAUAGAUGUUAUUUACUAUAUAUAGUCCCUAGUCAAAUCACUCCGAAUACCCCAAUACUUGUAUGUUAUCAUGUCUUUUUAGUCACUUUUAAUCCGGAAUAGCUCCCUCCACGACCUUUUGAAAAAUGUUUUAAAUUUUAUCUUUCAUACGGUGACAUUUUUGAAGAGUGCAGGCCAGUUGGUUAUAGACUUUCCCAAUUGGAAUUUGCCUGAUUAUUUCCUCAUGAUUAGAUCCAGGUUAAACACUUUGGGCCAGAAUACUCCAAAAAUGAUAUUGUGUUCUUUUCAUACCCACUAAUUGUUGCAAUCUGGUGAAAUUCAGGUUACAGAAGCAAAAGAGGAUAUGUUAGAAUCCGAGAAUCAUAGAGCAGGAAAGAGCCUCAUAGUCUGACCAGACCAUACCAUAUUACAAAUGAGCACACUGAGGCAUGAAGAAAUCAAAGAGUGGUCCCGCAGUAUAGCCAGUGGCAGUCAGCUGUUGCUGGUGCACCAUCUACUAAACUCUCCUAAAAUGUCAGCAUUCACUUUCUUCAGC
rnacentral:lncRNA from 1 species